AUGGGAUCUAUAAAGAAACAUCUGAGAUCCUCAAACAUUACAGGAGUCAUUUGUAAUAUCACAGAGCUUUGAUCAGUGCUACUGUAUUCUCAACUAGCAGACAUACAGUGCCUCCUGAUCACACAGACUUUUUUUCACUGUGGCACAUUGGCUCUUAAGAUGUGGGCGUAAUGACUGUUUAUGCUAACCGCAUAGUUUAGUCUUAGAGAACGCUGAGGAUGCUGCCAGAGGAAAUGGGUUUGGAUGUUAAAGAGCGAUAGACCGCAUACCCUGCUGUGUGUUUGAGUAGCUAGCUAGUCAUCCUAUGGAUAAUAUGGUUCACACAAACAACAGACAUAUGAGAAGCACGUACGGCACACACUAAAAUGGUGGUUUUGAUGGAGAUGAGAGGGGAAAUCAUUAUCAAAGUGUUGGAGAUGGGAGGGGAAAUCAUUAUCAAAGUGUUGGAGAUGGGAGGUGAAAUCAUUAUCAAAGUGUUGGAGAUGGGAGGUGAAAUCAUUAUCAAAGUGUUGGAGAUGGGAGGUUAAAUCAUUAUCAAAGUGAUGGAGAUGGGAGGUUAAAUCAUGAUCAAAUUGUUGGAGAUGGGAGGUGAAAUCAUUAUCAAAGUGAUGGAGAUGAGAGGUGAAAUCAUUAUCAAAGUGAUGGAGAUGAGAGGGGAAAUCAUUAUCAAAGUGAUGGAGAUGGGAAGUUAAAUCAUUAUCAAAGUGAUGGAGAUGGGAGGUUAAAUCAUUAUCAAAGUGAUGGAGAUGGGAGGUGAAAUCAUUAUCAAAGUGAUGGAGAUGGGAGGUGAAAUCAUUAUCAAAUCAUUAUCAAAGUGUUGGAGAUGGGAGGUGAAAUCAUUAUCAAAGUGAUGGAGAUGGGAGGUGAAAUCAUUAUCAAAGUGAUGGAGAUGAGAGGGGAAAUCAUUAUCAAAGUGAUGGAGAUGGGAGGUUAAAUCAUUAUCAAAGUGAUGGAGAUGGGAGAAUAAAUCAUUAUCAAAGUGAUGGAGAUGGGAGGUUAAAUCAUUAUCAAAGUGAUGGAGAUGGGAGGUGAAAUCAUUAUCAAAGUGAUGGAGAUGGGAGAUUAAAUCAUUAUCAAAGUGAUGGAGAUGGGAGGUGAAAUCAUUAUCAAAGUGAUGGAGAUGGGAGUGGAAAUCAUUAUCAAAGUGAUGGAGAUGGGAGAUUAAAUCAUUAUCAAAGUGUUGGAGAUGGGAGGUGAAAUCAUUAUCAAAGUGAUGGAGAUGGGAGAUUAAAUCAUUAUCAAAGUGAUGGAGAUGGG
rnacentral:lncRNA from 1 species